rnacentral:rRNA from 1 species
GAUGAACGCUGGCGGCGUGCCUAAUACAUGCAAGUCGAGCGAACAGACGAGGAGCUUUCUCCUCUGACUUUAGCGGCGGACGGGUGCGUAACACGUGGAUAACCUACCUAUAAGACUGGGAUAACUUCGGGAAACCGUAUCUAAUACCGGAUAAUAUAUUGAACCUCAUGGUUCAAUAGUUAAAUACGGUUUUUCUUUCACUUAUAGCUUGAUCCGCGCCGCAUUAGCUAGUUGUUAAGGUAACGGCUUACCAAGGCGACGAUGCGUAGCCGACCUGAGAGGGUGAUCGGCCACACUGGAACUGAGACAGGGUACAGACUCCUACGGGAGGCAGCAGUAGGGAAUCUUACGCAAGGGGCGAAAGCCUGACGGAGCAAAGCCGCGUGAGUGAUGAAGGUCUUAGGAUCGUAAAACUCUGUUAUUAGGGAAGAACAAAUGUGUAAGUAACUAUGCACGUCUUGACGGUACCGAAUCAGAAAGCCACGGCUAACUACGUG